UACGUAGGGAGCGAGCGUUGUCCGGAAUUACUGGGCGUAAAGGGUGCGUAGGCGGUGAGCCAAGUCAGAUGUGAAAUCCCCGGGCUUAACUCGGGAGUUGCAUUUGAAACUGGUUUACUUGAGUGCAGGAGAGGAAAGCGGAAUUCCUAGUGUAGCGGUGAAAUGCGUAGAUAUUAGGAGGAACAUCAGUGGCGAAGGCGGCUUUCUGGACUGUAACUGACGCUGAGGCACGAAAGCGUGGGGAGCAAACAGG
rnacentral:rRNA from 1 species